rnacentral:rRNA from 1 species
GAUGAACGCUGGCGGCGUGCUUAACACAUGCAAGUCGAACGAAGCACCUUAUUUGAUUUCCUUCGGGACUGAUUAUUUUGUGACUGAGUGGCGGACGGGUGAGUAACGCGUGGGUAACCUGCCUUGUACAGGGGGAUAACAGUUGGAAACGGCUGCUAAUACCGCAUAAGCGCACAGCAUCGCAUGAUGCAGUGUGAAAAACUCCGGUGGUAUAGGAUGGACCCGCGUUGGAUUAGCUAGUUGGUGAGGUAACGGCCCACCAAGGCGACGAUCCAUAGCCGACAGGAGAGGGUGACCCGCCACAUUGGGGCUGAGACACGGCCCAAAAUCCUACGGGAGGGAGGAGUGGGGAAUAUUGCACAAUGGGCGAAAGCCUGAUGCAGCGACGCCGCGUGAGCGAAGAAGUAGUUCGGUAUGUAAAGCUCUAUCAGCAGGGGAGAUAAUGACGGUACCUGACUAAGAAGCACCGGCUAAAUACGUG